rnacentral:snoRNA from 1 species
GGUCGAUGAUGAUAAUGCAGAAGUGUUCUGAGGGCACAGGGGAAUUACACCCCAUUACCCUUGUGGCUCCCAGCAGUCCCUGUUCUUUCAUGCCAGAGUAGAGCUAUGAUUGAGGAGAAGGGAUUGCUGACAGUCUGGGAUUAAUUCAGUUCCAGUUCUCCACAGUGAAGGGAGUUGUGGCACCAAAUGUAAUCCGACAGAUGUGGCUGAGAGGAGCUCAUGGUCAUGGGGUGCUGUCAUUUGUCAUGCGUGAUCAAAGGUUUUCAAGCUGAGACC